GAUCCUGGCUCAGGAUAAACGCUGGCGGCGUGCUUAACACAUUCAAGUCGAACGGGGUAUGUUUGGAAGCUUGCUUUUGGACAUACUUAGUGGCGGACGGGUGAGUAAUGCAUGAGCAACCUGCCUUCAAGAGGGGGAUAACACAUGGAAACGUGUGCUAAUACCGCAUAGACGUACGGACGGCAUCGUAUGUACGGGAAAGGAGCAAUCCGCUUGAAGAUGGGCUCAUGUCCGAUUAGGUUG
rnacentral:rRNA from 1 species